rnacentral:rRNA from 1 species
AUGAACGCUGGCGGCGUGCUUAACACAUGCAAGUCGCACGGAAAGGCUCCUGCUUGCAGGGGUACUCGAGUGGCGAACGGGUGAGUAACACGUGGGUGAUCUGCCCUGCACUUCGGGAUAAGCCUGGGAAACUGGGUCUAAUACCGGAUAGGACGAUGGUUUGGAUGCCAUUGUGGAAAGUUUUUCGGUGUGGGAUGAGCUCGCGGCCUAUCAGCUUGUUGGUGGGGUAAUGGCCUACCAAGGCGUCGACGGGUAGCCGGCCUGAGAGGGUGUACGGCCACAUUGGGACUGAGAUACGGCCCAGACUCCUACGGGAGGCAGCAGUGGGGAAUAUUGCACAAUGGGCGCAAGCCUGAUGCAGCGACGCCGCGUGGGGGAUGACGGCCUUCGGGUUGUAAACUCCUUUCGCUAGGGACGAAGCGCAAGUGACGGUACCUGGAGAAGAAGCACCGGCUAACUACGU